UGAGGGUGCGAUGAGCUGAUGGCUGUGA
rnacentral:piRNA from 1 species